CUUAAACAUUGUUUUUGUAAAUUUUUCCCUUGCUGAUCGAUUAUUGCGUUGUUGAUUAUCAUUCCGAAAAUGAUAUUGAUGACGUAUUUCAACGUUUUUAACACAACAUAGCUGCAUUUGAUUUACUAAAAACUAUCACUUUCAAACGUGUCUCCAUUUUUCUUCUUAUCUCUUCUUUAACGGUCUUAAAAACUUGUUUAUUUUUCUUCACUUCGAUCACAAAAUAAAUAAUAUAAUUUCUUGAUUAUUAUCUUUAUUUAUUUUGUUUAAAUUUGUUCGAUUGUUCGUUGUAAUUAAAAUUAUUUUCGUUCAUAAUUUUAAUUAAAUAUUUUAUUGCAGGCAAUAGGAAAAAAAAAAAAAGAGGAACAAAAUUGUAAAUUUUUCGUUUUGAAUUGAAAAAAACACAAUUCUAAUGUACUUCACUUCUAAUAUAACGAUUGAAAAGCAAUAAGAAAAUUGGAAAUAAAAAUAUUCUUCGAAUUUAUCAUAUUCAACGUUAAAAACUGACUAAACGCAACUAUACAACGUCCACGACGCGACUGGGCCAAUCAUGUCGGAAGCCGGUAUGACAGAGGCAUCUGACAACCGACAAAUCAAACACGAAAAUGAGUGCAUGUGCGCACAGCAAGAAGAAAGAGAUUUGCGCGCGCGUAUUCACUUCCCGCUUCUUGACCUGUCAGCCAUUAGUAGACUCUCUCGGUGUAGCCUCCCCCCAAACGCGUCUUUCCCGCCAUAUAGACUUCAAGAAAUAGAAAAUUUCAAAUCGAUCUAUCAUUUGAGCAAAUAUAUACCUUCAUCGAAUAAAUCUUAUGCAGAAGUGAUACUUUGAGAGCGAUAUAUGACCGAUUGUGAACAUCAAACCUUCGACAUGCAAAGGAACAUCGAUUCAAGAAGAGAGACGAACAUUCUUCAUAGGUCAGCAAGCAUAGAACGAUUUUAGAUACGGCCUUUGGGCUGCUCGUGCUUUGCGUUGUAGCUUGUCUUCGUAACUAUUCCGUCCUAAUAAUUAUUUAAUAUCUGUUUGUUGAUUGGCCGGUAAACAGAUAUCAAAAACUCUCGGAAGUCAUCGAGAGCAACCAAGACGCGACGAUUAGCGAGAAUGACUACAUCACUUAUCGAUUACAUAACAAGACAAAGAUACUAUCACGAAAUAACGUUAUUAAUUAAAUUAAUUUAUAAAAUAUAUUUUCUAUUUUAUUCUUAAUGUAUUCAUUUCACAAUUUCUUAGAUCUCUUUCAUAUUUAUUUUAU